rnacentral:lncRNA from 1 species
AAGAAUAAGUAUGAGGCGGUUAAGAAGUUAGUAAAAGCAAAAGAAUAAGCUGGAAACAGAGGAAACAUAUGCACGUGUAACAGAGAGUGAGAGAGAAGCUGCAAACUGACCCAACUACAGACCUGAAAACCCGACCCAGAACCCGCGACCUUGACCCGGCCAACUCUCCCAUUUCCAGCCACCGUUUUGGCCGAGCUUGGUACCAAUCUGAAGCUUAGAAGCCGGUCGUCGUUUCCCUGCCAUCCUCACCGCCGAAACACAACCAGAACGCCGGCGAUCGAAGCUUGAAAACCCGUGACUGUUUUGCUUUGUUCCGCUGGGAUUUUCGCCGGUUUUGGGUGACACCACCAGUUGGAUUUUGUUCCCCACGACUCCCUCUUCCAUUUCCGACCAUCCAUAGCCACCGAGAGUCAUUGUUUUGCCGCCGGUCAAUUGUUAGAAUUCACGGUUGCGGAGCUAGAUUUCGGCGUUGUUACUGCGCAUUGGAGCACACCGCCGGUACCAUUGAACUCAGCGUGAUGGGAACUUUCAGACUUGAGCUUCCCGGCCAACGUUGACCAAAUUUCGGUGACCGUUGACCGGCAAGGGCAUUUCGGUAAUUUCACACUCUGAGGGCAAUUUUGUAAUUUCCGAGCCUAGAGAUAUUUUAGUAAUUCUUGGAAUUGAGGAUAGGAUGUAAUUACGAUUCCGAGGAUAAUUCGGUGAUUUAUGAUUUUAGAGUAUUUUUAUUAUUUACGAACUCGAGGGCAUUUUAGUAAGUUUAUCGACAUGGAAGUUAUAAAUUAUGGAUAGAUGUUUGUUUCGAGUUUAUUACAUAAAUUUAGUCGUAAUUUCAAUUUAUGAAAAAUAAUUAUGUCGUUUCCUUGAUUUAGGAGGAUCCGCGAGCAAGAACCGGUCCACGGACAUGGACGAUAACUGAGCGUGAGCACCAUCACUGUGAGUGGAAUAUACAAAACUUAUUUUCAUAGUUAAUUAUGAUAAUAAAGCAUGUUUGUGAAAUAAGUAUUUUAAAUGUGUUGAUUUAAUGAUUUCCUCGAAAUGGAUUUUACACACGCAUUGAUAUUUUAUUAAAAUGUUUGGUUAAUGAUUUUGCGUAUCGAUUUUGAUAAGUAUGAUAGUAUUUUAAAGAUAAGAAAAGUGGAUUCAAAUGUGGUAUGAUUUAGAGUAUGAUUGAAAGGUAUGUGAAUAUGAGUAUAAUGGUUAUUUUUGAAAUCGUUAGACAAUACCCUUCCCUCUGAAAUAUAAGUGUGCAAUCCAAGAGGGGGGUGAAUUGGUAUUUUAAAAAUUAUCCUAAAAAAUCUACACAACAAUCCAAUCUAACGCCUUAAUAAAUAUGAAAGCAAUAAGUUUAAUGAAAGCACAAUAACAAAUGAGUAAGGGAGAAGAGAAACAAACACACGAAUUUUUACGUGGUUCGGCAAUCCUCGCCUACGUCCACGCCUCCAAGCGAUCCCAGCUUGAGGAUUUCACUAUCCAAGUCUUUCCAAGGCUUCGAACGUUUACAAUUGACAUCAAGGUGUCAAUAAACCUUUACAACUAAGAGAUUAUCUCCCAAUCUGUUCACUCAAAUGUCUCACACACUCAAACACUUACAAUUAAGAUGAAGAAAUGAAAGUUACAACAAAACUCACUCAAAAAGUGGAUAUUCAAAAAUGAAGAACAAGAGAUGAUUCAAUGUUUUGUGAUUUACAAAUUGAAAGCUCAAGAUAUCUCGUGUGCUUUUUGUUUAUGCUUGCUUGAGAGCUUGAAAAUGAGUUGGAUUUGAGUUUAUAUAGUUUGAGCUCAAAAACUAGCCGUUAUGCACAUUUUGGUCAUAGCCGGCUUGCCGUUUAUGGAAUUCAGUUAGCAGCUUUUAUGUUACUGUUAAGGCAAAAAUUUGAAUUUCAGAAUAUCCGGCAUGCCGCUUUUCAUAUCCAGUUAACCACUUUUGAAAUCCAGAUUGCCGCUUGCGAAAUCCGAAUAGUCGUUUAUGCUCCAGAAGCUUACUGCCCAAAAUCUGGAUUGCCGUUUACCAUAUCCGAUUAGUCGCUUGUUACAGUAACUGCUAUAGUGAAAUAUUUUUUAAAUUUACAGUUUGAUCCCAAAACGUUAUAAAAUUAUAUUAUGGCCUAAAAAGUUAUGAAAGCUUUCAAAUAGGUCCCAUUUCAGAAUUUCUAAAACAAUACUUUCUCAAUCCUAAAACUUUCUGAAAUUAUGAUUUCACCCAAAUUAUGUGAAAUUAUAGAAUGACCUAAAAUAUUUAAAUAGUUUCAAAUAGGUCUAAAUCUGAAAUUUUCAAACAAUAUCAAAGGUUUUAAAAUACUUUCAUUUUAGUCCAAAAUACUUUAAUUCCAUAACAUCAUUUUCUUAAAAAGCACAAUUUCAUAAAUCUUUGUUUAAUCAAUACAUGUGGUUUGUUAUCAUCAAAAUCAAUAUCUAUAGCCAUAUAGGCUAACACCCUCCAGAUACAGUGAUACAGAUGAGAUAAGAUAGAAGCCUUUGGGGCCCCUCUGAACACACAUAGAGGGUUUGGGCCGUGUGUUUGGGCAUUUCUGCCUUUUGGGGGCAUAUGCAUGUGGUAUGAUGAUUACAGAGAUACAGAUAUGAGAUACAGACAGAUAUUGAGAUACAUAUUAUACGAAUGAGAUACAGGCCUUUGGGGCCCGUCUAAGUACACACAGAGGCUUUGGGCCGUGUGCUUGGGCGCUUUUGUCCUUUGGGGACUAGAUUAUGCAUGCACACAGAUGAUGAGAUAUGAGAUGAUACUUCCCUGUCUAUCCGUGUAGCUCCGAGGCGUGACGGUACCCAGAUAAUACGUCAUUGCCCGUCCAUUGAGGUCCUGAUCUCGAUGUCGUGAUACCACGACUAGUGAUGAUGUGCUGCGAUGUAACUAGCGAUGUGUGAUGCAAGUGUUGUGAUUUUUGUAUUUAUAUUUUUUUAAUUUAAAAGGGUAUUUUCAGAAUUUAGAAAUUUUAAUGUGGGCAAAUUGAAUAGUCCCAUGAACAAGAGACUGAUUCCCAAACGCCCUGGGAAUUAGUCUCUUAUUCUCGGUUUCCAAUUUGAUGUGGGCUCCAUUAUUCCUAUUCCAAUUCUUAUCUUUAUUUAUAAAGUAAAUGAUGUUGAUGAUUCUGAUUCCUUAAUUUAAGAAGUGAACACACUAUAAUAUUUUUUUUAAAUGCAUCCAUGGCACAAUCUCAUUAGUCCAUUUUUCUUCACGCUUAGAUUCAACUUCAAGAUUCAAUUUGAAGCAAACACAAGUACAAAACAAAUAUAAUAAGCAUUAAUAAGCCUGUGGCAAUCAUACCUUACGCCAGAAGUUAAACAAUGUUCCCAUUCCACGUGUCAGUCUUUGACCAAUCCCCAAACUUUCUUCAUAUUUCCAAAGGAACCCUUGCCAAAUCAAAAUAAUUCCCUUCACUCUACUCAUAUAAAUACUGUCCUCGAUUCAACUGAUGACGACACAUCCUUACAGUCUUUAUUUAGGCAUUUGUUACCUUUAUUGAUUAGAUAACAAACACAGCAAAAUGAGAAGUGUUGGAUUUGAAACUUCAAAUCUAACGACUGGAAAGGAGAGGUAAUGUAUUAGGGGGAGCGUAGGGAAGUGGAACAAAUUCAGACUUGAAAGUUUUCUCUUUCUUGUUUUAAUUUAAUUUACUUAUCCCCAAAUAAUCCAAUGCUUGCAUGACCAUGAAAUUAGUUGUGGUCCUAACGUAAAUUUUAAUAAAUUUGCGUAAAGAUGUCAGAUUUAUUAAAUAUGUGUAAUAAUAAUAAUGACAUUAAUAAAUAAUAAUAACAAGAACAAUAAUAAUGAUGAUGAUGAAAAAUAAU